ACCUGGCUGGCUCAGUCAGUGGAGCCUGAGACUCUUGAUCUUACAUUUGUGAGUUCAAGCCCCACACUGGGUG
rfam:Mustela putorius furo unplaced genomic scaffold scaffold00129, whole genome shotgun sequence.